UCUUGACAUGUAUGACAUCACAUGUGUGAUGUCACACACAUGUGACAUCACACAUGUGAUGUCAUACAUUCAACUUGGC